rnacentral:rRNA from 1 species
GGUGUGGUCGGUAAUUGGGGUGAAGUCGUAACAAGGUAGCCGUAGGGGAACCUGCGGCUGGAUCACCUCCUUU